CUGAGGUUACACAAAACGGUCAUAACAGAGGCCAGACCUGUUCUCAAAUACCACGCGCUGGAGGAGGUAGAAUACCCUGUGGGUCCUUGACUGGCUCAGGUGGCUUAGAGAAGGGCAAAACAGUAGCUUUAGAGACGACAGAAAUCACCUGCAGAAGGAACAGACUCUUGAGUGGAGAUCAUUACAGAAACUCACAAAACUGAGGACAAAAUCACGGAACACCAGGGAGCCGGGCUGGCCAUACUGUGCUUUGAGCAGCCUGUGGUAAACAUCUGGCUGGAGCCUAGCUUUUUUUUUUUUUUUUUUUUUUUCUGCAGAGCUGGUUAGAUAAAGAGAUCAAGAUAGAUCACGGCUGGAGACUGUGUUUCCUAAGAAUGGAUGAUAAGCAUUAGCAGAUAAAAAAAAAUGUAAUCAAUCAAGUAAUGGAACAAGGUAGGAAUGAGAGGAAUGUUUUUCAAUUUAAAAUCUAGUGUAAAUUUUGCCCUUAACAAUAUCGGAGAAAAUGUAAAGAAGCAGACGGAAUUCCUUAAAUACACAGUUAAGGAAGAAAAGUACUGCUUAAGGAGAUGCGUAAAUGGUUUCAGACAUGAAUAUAUGUAUGUAUGUAUGUAUGUAUGUAUAGGGUUUUCCCUUUCCUGUUAGGAUUAAGCUAUUUUUUUAGAGUAAAUGUAUCAGGAGUGGAUUACUUUGUUAAUAACAACAACCUACUUUUUGUAGCUCUUUAAAAAAUAACCUUAAAAAGUGCACAAGAAGAGAUGUUUGUUUUAGAAAAACAUGAAUAAUAUUUUUUAACUUUUCUGAAUGCUAGUGGUCUAAUAGAACUAAUAGAGUUGGGGUGCCUGGAUGGCUCAGUCGUUAAGUGUCUGCCUUCGGCUCAGGCGUGAUUCCGGGGUCCUGGGAUCGAGCCCCGCAUCGGGCUCCCUGCUAAGCGGGGAGCCUGCUUCUCCCUCUCCCACUCCCCCUGCUUGUGUUCCCUCUCUCGCUGUCUCUCUCUGUGUCAAAAAAAAAAAAAAAAAGAACUGAUAGAGUCAUGGUCACUAAUGGGGAAUGUUCCCAAAGGCCUCAGAAAAUACAGUAAUGAAAGAGUGAGACAACAAAUAUCAAAGUCUGAAAACUUCCAACUCUCCAUCCACCAACCACACCCUUCCCAUGCCCACCCCACCCCCUCUAGGGAUAUGUCAAUCUCCCAACACCUGAUGGACAGUGCAAGAGUCAGUGUUGAUGUUUAAGAGGCUGAAGCAGAUUUAGAAAGAAUGAAAGUUCGAUAGUUAU